AACGAACGCUGGCGGCGCGCCUAAUACAUGCAAGUCGAGCGAGAAGGUGUAGCAAUACACUUGUAAAGCGGCGAACGGGUGAGGAAUACAUGGGUAAUCUACCAUCGAGUGGGGAAUAACCAACCGAAAGGUUGGCUAAUACCGCGUACGCCUCCGAGUCUUCGGGUUCGGAGGGAAAGCUGCACUGUGAGUGUAGCGCUCUUUGAUGAGCUCAUGUCCUAUCAGCUUGUUGGUAGGGUAAAGGCCUACCAAGGCGACGAUCCGUAACGGGUCUGAGAGGAUGAUCCGCCACACUGGGACUGAGACACGGCCCAGACUCCUACGGGAGGCAGCAGUGGGGAAUUUUGGACAAUGGGCGCAAGCCUGAUCCAGCCAUGCCGCGUGAGUGAAGAA
rnacentral:rRNA from 1 species